AUGAACUCGCUCAACUUUAUGUUGAUUUUUCGCAUGUUUCUUUCUCAGGUUGCAUUUCUAAGACAAGGUACGGUUGGAAUAGGAGAACCAUGAAGAGUCGAGUACUUAGCGGGCGUUCAAUUUUUAGAAGUCUUAGCUUAUUUGCUUCUGCUGUGCAAUGAAGAUACCAGUCCAGUCACGCCAUGCUCUGAUAAUUUCGGGGUGUGACAUUAUCAUCAUCACACACAACUCACCUCCUUCCCUUCUCUCUCUCUUUGGCCGAGAACACCCACAACAUCAUCAACAUCAUCAUCCAACUCACUUCCAUACAUUCCAAGUUCAUUUCAUGAUACAAGAAGGUGUUUAAACAAGCUUGGUGGUCUUGGAUCUUGAAGGACCUCUCCCGAUUGCUUUUAUCCACCACUUUUGUCAUCAUCAACAUCAAGUGUUCUUCCUUAGCCUUGUGCUAGUAGUAAGGCCCUUAUGAUCUCUUGAUCUUUCAUAUAUAGUUGGUUAAUAAGUGAUGAACAUUA
rnacentral:lncRNA from 1 species